UACGGAGGGUGCAAGCGUUAAUCGGAAUUACUGGGCGUAAAGCGUGCGCAGGCGGUUUGUUAAGUCCGUUGUGAAAGCCCCGAGCUCAACUUGGGAAUUGCAGUGGAUACUGGCAGGCUGGAGUACGGUAGAGGAAGGUGGAAUUCCCGGUGUAGCAGUGAAAUGCGUAGAUAUCGGGAGGAACACCAGCGGCGAAGGCGGCCUUCUGGACCAGUACUGACGCUCAUGCACGAAAGCGUGGGGAGCAAACAGG
rnacentral:rRNA from 1 species